ACGGAAGGCAGCAGUGGGGGAUAUUGCACAAUGGGGGAAACCCUGAUGCAGCGACGCCGCGUGAGUGAUGAAGUAUUUCGGUAUGUAAAGCUCUAUCAGCAGGAAAGAUAAUGACGGUACCUGACUGAGAAGCACCGGCUAAAUACGUGCCAGCAGCCGCGGUAAUACGUAUGGUGCAAGCGUUAUCCGGAUUUACUGGGUGUAAAGGGAGCGCAGACGGCAUGGCAAGCCAGAUGUGAAAUGCGGGGGCUCAACUCCCGAACUGCAUUUGGAACUGUCAAGCUAGAGUAUCGGAGAGGUAAGUGGAAUUCCUAGUGUAGCGGUGAAAUGCGUAGAUAUUAGGAGGAACACCAGUGGCGAAGGCGGCUUACUGGACGAUAACUGACGUUGAGGCUCGAAAGCGUGGGGAGCAAACAGGAUUAGAUACGGUA
rnacentral:rRNA from 1 species